AACGCUUCGGAGCGCGUCCUGGCGGCGCCCAGCAGCGACCUGGACGUGAACACCGACAUCUACUCCAAGGUGCUGGUGACGGCCGUGUACCUGGCGCUCUUCGUGGUGGGCACGGUGGGCAACUCGGUGACCGCGUUCACGCUGGCGCGCAAGAAGUCGCUGCAGAACCUACAGAGCACCGUGCACUACCACCUGGGCAGCCUGGCGCUGUCCGACCUGCUCAUCCUGCUGCUGGCCAUGCCCGUAGAGCUGUACAACUUCAUCUGGGUGCACCACCCCUGGGCCUUCGGCGACGCCGUCUGCCGCGGCUACUACUUCCUGCGCGACGCCUGCACCUAUGCCACGGCCCUUAACGUGGCCAGCCUGAGCGUGGAACGCUACCUGGCCAUCUGUCACCCCUUCAAGGCCAAGACCCUCAUGUCCCGCAGCCGCACCAAGAAGUUCAUCAGCGCCAUCUGGCUGGCCUCGGGGCUGCUGGCUGUGCCCAUGAUCUUCACCAUGGGCCAGCAGAACCGCAGCGCAGACGGCCAGCACCCCGGCGGGCUGGUGUGCACACCCAUCGUCCACACCGCCACCGUCAAGGUUGUCAUCCAGGUGAGCAGCCUCUUCCGGGGGAGAAGGGCCGGGAGGAAACAGGGACGCAGCGCUGGCCGGGCAUUUCCUGAGCCCUUGGAGAACACAGUUAACAGCACUCGCCAGGCUUCUUGGGUCCUGGCAGCUGCUCCAAGUGCAGAGGUGCCUGUGCUGCUCAAGGCUGCAGGACCUCGGCGCCAAGGCCUGCGGUGGGCUG